rnacentral:rRNA from 1 species
CCUACGGGGGGCAGCAGUCGAGAAACAUUCACAAUGGGGGAAACCCUGAUGGUGACGCCGCGUGGGGGAAUGAAGGUCUUCGGAUUGUAAACCCCUGUCAUGUGGGAGCAAAUUAAAAAGAUAGUACCACAAGAGGAAGAGACGGCUAACUCUGUGCCAGCAGCCGCGGGAAUACAGAGGUCUCAAGCGUUGUUCGGAAUCACUGGGCGUAAAGCGUGCGUAGGCUGUUUCGUAAGUCGUGUGUGAAAGGCGCGGGCUCAACCCGCGGACGGCACAUGAUACUGCGAGACUAGAGUAAUGGAGGGGGAACCGGAAUUCUCGGUGUAGCAGUGAAAUGCGUAGAUAUCGAGAGGAACACUCGUGGCGAAGGCGGGUUCCUGGACAUUAACUGACGCUGAGGCACGAAGGCCAGGGGAGCGAAAGGGAUUAGAUACCCGAGUAGUC